AUUCCAGCUCCAAUAGCGUAUAUUAAAGUUGUUGCAGUUAAAACGCUCGUAGUCGGAUUUCGGGGCGGGCCGACCGGUCUGCCGAUGGGUAUGCACUGGCCGGCGCGUCCUUCCACCCGGAGACCGCGCCUACUCUUAACUGAGCGGGCGCGGGAGACGGGUCUUUUACUUUGAAAAAAUCAGAGUGUUUCAAGCAGGCAGUCGCUCUUGCAUGGAUUAGCAUGGGAUAAUGAAAUAGGACUCUGGUGCUAUUUUGUUGGUUUCGAACACCGGAGUAAUGAUUAACAGGGAUAGUUGGGGGUAUUCGUAUUCCAUUGUCAGAGGUGAAAUUCUUGGAUUUAUGGAAGACGAACUACUGCGAAAGCAUUUACCAAGAAUGUUUUCAUCA
rnacentral:rRNA from 1 species